rnacentral:rRNA from 1 species
AUUGAACGCUGGCGGCAGGCUUAACACAUGCAAGUCGAGCGGGGGAAGGUAGCUUGCUACUGGACCUAGCGGCGGACGGGUGAGUAAUGCUUAGGAAUCUGCCUAUUAGUGGGGGACAACAUCUCGAAAGGGAUGCUAAUACCGCAUACGUCCUACGGGAGAAAGCAGGGGAUCUUCGGACCUUGCGCUAAUAGAUGAGCCUAAGUCGGAUUAGCUAGUUGGUGGGGUAAAGGCCUACCAAGGCGACGAUCUGUAGCGGGUCUGAGAGGAUGAUCCGCCCAACUGGGACUGAGACACGGCCCAGACUCCUACGGGAGGCAGCAGUGGGGAAUAUUGGACAAUGGGGGGAACCCUGAUCCAGCCAUGCCGCGUGUGUGAAGAAGGCCUUAUGGUUGUAAAGCACUUUAAGCGAGGAGGAGGCUACUUUAGUUAAUACCUAGAGAUAGUGGACGUUACUCGCAGAAUAAGCACCGGCUAACUCUGUGCCAGCAGCCGCCGUAA